rnacentral:rRNA from 1 species
GACGAACGCUGGCGGCGUGCCUAAUACAUGCCAGUAGAACGCUGAAGAGAGGAGCUUGCUCUUCUUGGAUGAGUUGCGAACGGGUGAGUAACGCGUAGGUAACCUGCCUUGUAGCGGGGGAUAACUAUUGGAAACGAUAGCUAAUACCGCAUAACAAUGGAUGACACAUGUCAUUUAUUUGAAAGGGGCAAUUGCUCCACUACAAGAUGGACCUGCGUUGUAUUAGCUAGUAGGUGAGGUAAUGGCUCACCUAGGCGACGAUACAUAGCCGUCCUGAGAGGGUGAUCGGCCACACUGGGACUGAGACACGGCCCAGACUCCUACGGGAGGCAGCAGUAGGGAAUCUUCGGCAAUGGGGGCAACCCUGACCGAGCAACGCCGCGUGAGUGAAGAAGGUUUUCGGAUCGUAAAGCUCUGUUGUAAGUCAAGAACGGGUGUGAGAGUGGAAAGUUCACACUGUGACGGUAGCUUACCAGAAAGGGACGGCUAACUACGUG